CUGAGUGCCAUGAGUGAGUGACUUCAAACAGUUCAGUUACCAAAACGUUUUCAUGAAAAUGUCGGCACAAAUCUGUGGAGAGACCAGCACCCAUGGCUUCAAGAGUUCGAGCAGUCCACUGCCCGGACAGGUCUAAAAAGAAAACAUUACAUCGCUCCGUCCAUCUAAUCUUGAGCCUUAUGCAGGUGAUAAUUCUGCAGAUAAGGACGACGAAUGAAUAUGAAAAUUAUCAAAUAAUGGUAUUUUUGCUUUUUUCGUGUACGU